UACGAAGGGGGCUAGCGUUGCUCGGAAUUACUGGGCGUAAAGCGCACGUAGGCGGUCUUUUAAGUCGGGGGAUGGAAAAUCCUGGAGCUCAAACUCCAGAACUGCCUUCGAUACCGGAAGACUCGAGUCCGGGAAAGGUGAGUGGAACUGCGAGUGUAGAGGUGAAAUUCGUAGAUAUUCGCAAGAACACCAGUGGCGAAGGCGGCUCACUGGCCCGGUACUGACGCUGAGG
rnacentral:rRNA from 1 species